CUGUCUUUACUGAUGAUGAUAGUCUGAAAGUUAGUUUAAUCAAUACUUUAUGCAUUCCACUGAAAACUCUCUUUUAAAUGUAGGUGCCAAAUAAGUGAAUUGUUGAUGCAAUGCAAGAAUUCUCUCACCUGUUUAAUGUUGUAUUUAAUCUGUUUCUAUUAAUAUUCGGAUCUAACUGAGCAGUGUGUGGUUGCAUUAACUUGAUAGAACCUGAUUCUAACAGCGUACACCGCUCCUUUAAAUUGUUUAACUGCAAGUUCUGAAGAAAAGAAUUAUAUCACAUGAGAAGAGUACGGAAGAUUCUUCAUAUAGAGUAAAACCGACCUGGAAUUCUAAUUGGUUUACUUCGAAUGUCCAGGGAGAUGACUUGAGAGAAAGCACUGACACCUUUGUCUGUUCUACCACAGCGAUGAUAAUUUGAUUCUUCUCGGUUCUUGAUUAAGCAACUUUUUGUAAGUGCUGUAAAUAUGUGAUG